AAAAUACUCCCUCCGUCUCAAAAUUCUUGUGUUAAAUUCGUUUAAAUAUGGAUGUAUCAAGUCAUGUUUUAGUAUUAGGUACAUCCGUAUCUAGAUAAAUUUAAGACAAGAAUUUUGGUAUAGAAAAAAUAGUAA
rnacentral:pre_miRNA from 1 species